rnacentral:misc_RNA from 1 species
GAUGAAGAACGCAGCGAAAUGCGAUAAGUAGUGUGAAUUGCAGAAUUCAGUGAAUCAUCGAAUCUUUGAACGCACAUUGCGCCCCUUGGUAUUCCAUGGGACAUGCCUGUUCGAGCGCCAUUUGUACCUUCAAGCUCUGCUUGGUGUUGGGUGUUUGUCUCGCCUCUGCGUGUAGACUCGCCUCAAAACAAUUGGCAGCCGGCGUAUUGAUUUCGGAGCGCAGUACAUCUCGCGCUUUGCACUCAUAACGACGACGUCCAAAAGUACAUUUUUACACUCUUGACCUCGGAUCAGGUAGGGAUACCCGCUGAACUUAAGCAUAUCAAUAAGCGGAGGA